UACAGGGGGGGGCAAGCGUUGUUCGGAAUUACUGGGCGUAAAGGGCUCGUAGGUGGCCAACUAAGUCAGACGUGAAAUCCCUCAGCUUAACUGGGGAACUGCGUCUGAUACUGGAUGGCUUGAGUUUGGGAGAGGGAUGCGGAAUUCCAGGUGUAGCGGUGAAAUGCGUAGAUAUCGGGAGGAACACCAAUUGCGAAGGCAGCUCGCUGGUACGUUACUGACACUGAGACGCGAAAGCGUGGGGAGCAAACAGG
rnacentral:rRNA from 1 species